GAUGAACGCUAGCUACAGGCUUAACACAUGCAAGUCGAGGGGCAGCAUUUUAGUUUGCUUGCAAACUGAAGAUGGCGACCGGCGCACGGGUGAGUAACACGUAUCCAACCUGCCGAUAACUCCGGAAUAGCCUUUCGAAAGAAAGAUUAAUACCGGAUAGCAUACGAAUAUCGCAUGAUAUUUUUAUUAAAGAAUUUCGGUUAUCGAUGGGGAUGCGUUCCAUUAGUUUGUUGGCGGGGUAACGGCCCACCAAGACAACGAUGGAUAGGGGUUCUGAGAGGAAGGUCCCCCACAUUGGAACUGAGACACGGUCCAAACUCCUACGGGAGGCAGCAGUGAGGAAUAUUGGUCAAUGGGCGAGAGCCUGAACCAGCCAAGUAGCGUGAAGGAUGAAGGCUCUAUGGGUCGUAAACUUCUUUUAUAUGGGAAUAAAGUUUUCCACGUGUGGAAUUUUGUAUGUACCAUAUGAAUAAGGAUCGGCUAACUCCGUGCCAGCAGCCGCGGUAAUACGGAGGAUCCGAGCGUUAUCCGGAUUUAUUGGGUUUAAAGGGAGCGUAGGUGGAUUGUUAAGUCAGUUGUGAAAGUUUGCGGCUCAACCGUAAAAUUGCAGUUGAAACUGGCAGUCUUGAGUACAGUAGAGGUGGGCGGAAUUCGUGGUGUAGCGGUGAAAUGCUUAGAUAUCACGAAGAACUCCGAUUGCGAAGGCAGCUCACUAGACUGUCACUGACACUGAUGCUCGAAAGUGUGGGUAUCAAACAGGAUUAGAUACCCUGGUAGUCCACACAGUAAACGAUGAAUACUCGCUGUUUGCGAUAUACAGUAAGCGGCCAAGCGAAAGCAUUAAGUAUUCCACCUGGGGAGUACGCCGGCAACGGUGAAACUCAAAGGAAUUGACGGGGGCCCGCACAAGCGGAGGAACAUGUGGUUUAAUUCGAUGAUACGCGAGGAACCUUACCCGGGCUUAAAUUGCAACAGAAUAUAUUGGAAACAGUAUAGCCGUAAGGCUGUUGUGAAGGUGCUGCAUGGUUGUCGUCAGCUCGUGCCGUGAGGUGUCGGCUUAAGUGCCAUAACGAGCGCAACCCUUAUCUUUAGUUACUAACAGGUGAUGCUGAGGACUCUAGAGAGACUGCCGUCGUAAGAUGUGAGGAAGGUGGGGAUGACGUCAAAUCAGCACGGCCCUUACGUCCGGGGCUACACACGUGUUACAAUGGGGGGUACAGAAGGCGGCUACCUGGUGACAGGAUGCUAAUCCCAAAAACCUCUCUCAGUUCGGAUCGAAGUCUGCAACCCGACUUCGUGAAGCUGGAUUCGCUAGUAAUCGCGCAUCAGCCAUGGCGCGGUGAAUACGUUCCCGGGCCUUGUACACACCGCCCGUCAAGCCAUGAAAGCCGGGGGUACCUGAAGUACGUAACCGCAAGGAGCGUCCUAGGGU
rnacentral:rRNA from 1 species